rnacentral:sRNA from 1 species
GCUGGGUGUGGUGGUGCAUGCCUGUAACCCCAGCAGCUUCGGAAGCUGAGACAGGAGGAUUGCAUGUUCAAUGCCAGCCUCAGCAAUGGUGAGGCACUGAAUAACUCAGUGAGACCCUUUCUCUA